GACGAACGCUGGCGGCGUGCUUAACACAUGCAAGUCGAACGGAAAGGCCCUGCUUUUGUGGGGUGCUCGAGUGGCGAACGGGUGAGUAACACGUGAGUAACCUGCCCUUGACUCUGGGAUAACUUCAGGAAACUGGGGCUAAUACCGGAUAGGGGCUCCUGCUGCAUGGUGGGGGUUGGAAAGUUUCGGCGGUUGGGGAUGGACUCGCGGCUUAUCAGCUUGUUGGUGGGGUAGUGGCUUACCAAGGCUUUGACGGGUAGCCGGCCUGAGAGGGUGACCGGCCACAUUGGGACUGAGAUACGGCCCAGACUCCUACGGGAGGCAGCAGUGGGGAAUAUUGCACAAUGGGCGGAAGCCUGAUGCAGCAACGCCGCGUGCGGGAUGACGGCCUUCGGGUUGUAAACCGCUUUCGCCUGUGACGAAGCGUGAGUGACGGUAAUGGGUAAAGAAGCACCGGCUAACUACGUG
rnacentral:rRNA from 1 species